rnacentral:rRNA from 1 species
AUUGAACGCUGGCGGCAUGCCUUACACAUGCAAGUCGAACGGCAGCACGGGAGCAAUCCUGGUGGCGAGUGGCGAACGGGUGAGUAAUAUAUCGGAACGUGCCCAGUCGUGGGGAUAACGUAGCGAAAGCUACGCUAAUACCGCAUACGAUCUAUGGAUGAAAGCGGGGGAUCGCAAGACCUCGCGCGAUUGGAGCGGCCGAUAUCAGAUUAGGUAGUUGGUGAGGUAAAGGCUCACCAAGCCGACGAUCUGUAGCUGGUCUGAGAGGACGACCAGCCACACUGGGACUGAGACACGGCCCAGACUCCUACGGGAGGCAGCAGUGGGGAAUA